UCCUCUGUGUCUCCGCAGGGUGCUUUGUGAUGUGCUGGACUCCGGCCCUGGUGGUUCUGCUUCUGGACGGCCUGGGCUGCGAAAGAUGUAAAGUUCUGCGCUACGAGAAGUACUGCCUGGUUUCUGGCCGAGUGCAACUCCUUCGUCAACCCCAUCAUCUACUCCUUCAGGGACAAGGACAUGAGACGGACCUUCAAGGAGAUCCUGUGCUUCCUGUGCCGCAGACGAGACGAAGACAAGAUCCCCUCCUCGGGGGUGCACUUUAAACACGAUGGAGCACGAGAACUAUAAGUCUCGUACUGCAGACCCCAAACUGAGCAGCACCAACGGGACGCCUCUAAUCCAUCGACAGGAAGCCCCGCCCCCUUCAGAGACCUGAGGAGGAAGAGGAGGAAGAAGAGGAAGACAGAAGCAUUUUGAAUCAGUUGUUAGAGUCCCGUUUCCUGUCUCUAAAAGGGGUUUUAUUCCACGUUAAAGUGAACAUCUUUGAACUCUGAGACCCUGUGAUUGGUCCAGAGGACAGUCUGUGGACUCAGAUCCUGUGAUUGGUCCAGAGGACAGUCUGUGGACUCAGAGACCCUGUGAUUGGUCCAGAGGUCUAGUGGAGGGUCUCCAGUCCUCCUCUGUUUACCUGCAGAACAAACAGGGACAUGUUUCUAUAUUUUCCGACAGGAAUGAAAGGCGUCCUGUGGGUUGCCAGGUUGGAAGGAUGUGCAAACUGCUCUGUUUUCUUUGCAGAGCUGCAUCCAGUCUUUCCUUAUUGUUUAAAGCUUUGGUCCAGUCUCUACCGUUUUGUAAUUAACAUGUUUUUAUUUUAUUUUAAAUUGCCUCCACUUUUGUGCGUCCUUCUCAUCGUCCUGUUUAUAGUGCGAUCAUGUUCCUGCAUUUCUUGGAUUGUAGUUUAACUUUCUGAUUUAAAGACAUAUUGCAGAUUGAUAAAGAUUAAAGUGUUUCUUCCCCUGCCAACAUUAAUACCAUGUUUUAAAUGUGUGUUUUAUUCGCACACAGAUGAGCAGUUUGUGGGUGAAUUAUUUUUGUUUUUUUAAACCUGUGACUAAAACAAAACUCUGAAACACCAAAUCAAACCUGGCAACCCGUUCUCAUUAACAGCUGAUCUGAAAAGCCUUAAUUAUCAUCCUGUUCAAACUGUAAUAAGCUGCUUCAUGAGACCAUUUUAAUUGAUGUGUUUAUAAUUAGUUUUUACCUUUUUAUUUUAAUAAUCAUUUUUACAAAAAUGCUCUGAAAUUUCCUCCAAAAUGUUUCCUGUAAAUUCAAUUUUUGCACUUUUUUUUUGACAAUUGGAAAUUAAGCUUUUAUUUUAAUUUUGUUGUGGCUGUUUGCAUCUUUAUGAAGAAUAUUUUUGUAAAUUGUGAUAUAAAAGGAUAUUUAUAAUGUACAGUCUGUGGUGCGACUCAAAGCAAAGCUUUAAAGGUGUUCUCACUUUAAAGGGAAAUAAUGCAGCAGCUUUAUUUUAAUAAUGAAAAUUAAAGAUGUUUUUAAUAUUGAACAUUAAAGAUGUUUUUUGA